rnacentral:rRNA from 1 species
GAUCUCAAAUCAGGUAGGACUACCCGCUGAACUUAAGCAUAUCAAUAAGCGGAGGAAAAGAAACUAACAAGGAUUCCCCUAGUAACUGCGAGUGAAGCGGGAAGAGCUCAAAUUUAAAAUCUGAUGUGCCUCUGGCCGUCCGAGUUGUAGUCUGGAGAAGCGUUUUCCGUGUUGGACCGUGUAUAAGUCUCUUGGAACAGGGCGUCAUAGAGGGUGAGAAUCCCGUCUUUGACACGGACUACCAAUGCUUUGUGAUGCGCUCUCAAAGAGUCGAGUUGUUUGGGAAUGCAGCUCAAAAUGGGUGGUAAAUUCCAUCUAAAGCUAAAUAUAGGCGAGAGACCGAUAGCGAACAAGUACCGUGAGGGAAAGAUGAAAAGCACUUUGGAAAGAGAGUUAAACAGUACGUGAAAUUGCUGAAAGGGAAACGCUUGAAGUCAGUCACGUCUGCCAGGACUCAGCCUUGCUUCUGCUUGGUGCACUUUCUGGUUUGAUGGGCCAACAUCAAUUUUGACCGUUGGAGAAAGGCUUUGGGAAUGUGGCACCUUCGGGUGUGUUAUAGCCCUUUGUYGUAUACAACGGUUGGGAUUGAGGACCGCAGCACGCCUUCAUGGCCGGGGUCGCCCACGUACGUGCUAGG